AAAAUCCGCACGGCAUAUGAGGGUGAGACGUGAUGCCGAGCCGUAUCAGGUGAAGUGGAUGAUCCUAUGCUGCCGAGAAAGGCCUCUAGCGAUGUUGUGCGCGGCCCGUACCCUAAACCGACACAGGUGGUCAGGUAGAGAAUGCCAAGGCGAUCGGGUGAACUGUGGUUAAGGAACUCGGCAAAUUGCCCCCGUAACUUAGGGAGAAGGGGGGCCACUGCUGGUGAACGGACUUGCUUCGGGAGCUGGUGGUGGUCGCAGAGAGCAGGGGGAAGCGACUGUUUACUAAAAACACAGGUCCAUGCCAAGUCGUAAGACGCUGUAUAUGGACUGACGCCUGCCCGGUGCUGGAACGUUAAAAGGACCUGUUAGCCUCUAGGGGCGAAGCGGAGAAUUGAAGCGCCAGUAAACGGCGGUGGUAACUAUAACCAUCCUAAGGUAGCGAAAUUCCUUGUCGGGUAAGUUCCGACCUGCACGAAUGGCGUAACGACUUCCCCACUGUCUCAACCACAGGCCCGGCGAAAUUGCAGUACGAGUAAAGAUGCUCGUUACGCGCGGCAGGACGGAAAGACCCCGGGACCUUCACUAUAGCUUGACAUUGGCAUUUGAAUUUAAUUGUGUAGGAUAGGUGGGAGCCUGUGAAGUGUGGACGCCAGUCCAUGUGGAGGCAAUCUUGAAAUACCACUCUGUUGAAUUUGGGUGUCUAACCACGGACCCUGAUCGGGUUCUGGGACCGUGUCUGGUGGGUAGUUUAACUGGGGCGGUUGCCUCCUAAAAGGUAACGGAGGCGCCCAAGGGUUCCCUCAGCCUGGUUGGCAAUCAGGUGUUGAGUGUAAGUGCACAAGGGAGCUUGACUGUGAGACUGACAGGUCGAGCAGGGACGAAAGUCGGGACUAGUGAUCCGGCACCGGCAUGUGGAUCGGUGUCGCUCAACGGAUAAAAGGUACCCCGGGGAUAACAGGCUGAUCUUCCCCAAGAGUCCAUAUCGACGGGAUGGUUUGGCACCUCGAUGUCGGCUCGUCGCAUCCUGGGGCUGGAGUAGGUCCCAAGGGUUGGGCUGUUCGCCCAUUAAAGCGGUACGCGAGUUGGGUUUAGAACGUCGUGAGACAGUUCGGUCCCUAUCCGCCGCGCGCGUAGGAAACUUGAGAAGGGCUGUCCCUAGUACGAGAGGACCGGGACGGACGAACCUCUAGUGUGCCAGUUAUCCCGCCAGGGGUACGGCUGGUUAGCCACGUUCGGAAGGGAUAACCGCUGAAAGCAUCUAAGCGGGAAGCCUGCUUCAAGACCACGUUUCCCACCCGUACAGCAAUGUGCGGGGUAAGGCCCCCGGCCAGACCACCGGGUAGACAGGCCAGAUGUGUAAGCCCAGCAAUGGGUUCAGCUGACUGGUACUGAUAGGCCGAGGACUUCACGA
rnacentral:rRNA from 1 species